UCCGUUUCACGUACCGGCAUCAGUCCCUUUCACCCAUACCGGGCGCGGAUCGGUCAGUCGUGCGGGUCGGUCCGUUUCACGUACCGGCGUCGGUCCCUUUCACCCACACCGGGUGCAGAUCGGUCAGUCGUGCGGGUCGGUCAGUUUCACGUACCGGCGUCGGUCCCUUUCACUGGCGCCGGGCGCGGAUCGGUCAGUCGUGCGGGUCGGUCAGUUUCACGUACUGGCGUCGGUC